UACGAAGGGGGCUAGCGUUGCUCGGAAUUACUGGGCGUAAAGCGCGCGUAGGCGGCUUUGUAAGUUAGAGGUGAAAGCCCGGAGCUCAACUCCAGAACUGCCUCUGAUACUGGGAAUCUUGAGUCCGGGAGAGGUGAGUGGAACUGCGAGUGUAGAGGUGAAAUUCGUAGAUAUUCGCAAGAACACCAGUGGCGAAGGCGGCUCACUGGCCCGGUACUGACGCUGAGGUGCGAAAGCGUGGGGAGCAAACAGG
rnacentral:rRNA from 1 species